UGACCUCAAAUCAGUAGGACUACCCGCUGAACUUAA
rnacentral:rRNA from 1 species